rnacentral:rRNA from 1 species
GAUGAACGCUGGCGGCGUGCCUAAUACAUGCAAGUCGAGCGAACGGACGAGAAGCUUGCUUUUCUGAUGUUAGCGGCGGACGGGUGAGUAACACGUGGAUAACCUACCUAUAAGACUGGGAUAACUUCGGGAAACCGGAGCUAAUACCGGAUAAUAUUUUGAACCGCAUGGUUCAAAAGUGAAAGACGGUCUUGCUUUCACUUAUAGAUGGAUCCGCGCUGCAUUAGCUAGUUGGUAAGGUAACGGCUUACCAAGGCAACGAUGCAUAGCCGACCUGAGAGGGUGGUCGGCCAGACGGGAGCUGAGACACGGUCCAGACUCCUACAGGAGGCAGCAGUAGGGAAUCUUCCGCAAUGGGCGAAAGCCUAACGGAGCAACGCCGCGUGAGUGAUGAAGGUCUUCGGAUCGUAAAACUCUGUUAUUAGGGAAGAACAUAUGUGUAAGUAACUGUGCACAUCUUGACGGUACCUAAUCAGAAAGCCACGGCUAACUACGUG